CCCCUUCAAACUCCCGUCCAAGUCCUCUUCAAUGUCCCUCUCUCUCUCUCUCUCUCUCUCCUCUCUCUCUCUCUCAAUAAAACAGCUUCCUUAGAUUAGCCUGUGGAGUCUUUUUUUGGCCCCCAAAAUCCCAAUCCAAAGGCUUCAGCAAUAAAUGGAAAGACAAGGAGGGGAAGCGGAGACGAUUGAUGCGGAAUUACCAAAUUAUAGACUUGGGAAAAUACUGGGGAUUGGUUCAUUUAGUAAGGUUAAAGUUGCAAAUCAUGCAUUGACAGGGAAUGUUGUUGCUGUCAAAAUUGUCAGCCGCCAAAAGCUGAGAAACAUGGACUUAGAAGAAAAUGCGAGGCGAGAAAUUGAGAUCCUAAAAUUGUUGCAACAUCCUCACGUUAUUCAAUUUUGUGAGGUCGUAGAAAUGCAUGCAAAUAUAUAUAUUGUAAUGGAGCAUGCUGAAUCAGGGGAGCUUUUUGAUCAUCUUGUAGAAAAGGGCAGAUUGCAGGAGUGCGAGGCUCGCCAUUUUUUCCAGCAGAUUAUUUCUGGUGUUGAACAUUGCCACAGAAAUAUGGUCAUACAUCGAGAUCUAAGGCUAGAGAACCUGCUUUUAGAUUCAAAAUAUAACAUCAAAAUUAUUGACUUCGGCAUGAGUAAUACAUUUUGGGACGGUCAACUUCCGAGGACUAGCUUUCUGAAUCCAUAUUCAGCACCGGAGCUAAUUUCCCGUAAACCGCAUAAUGGGCCUGAAGUUGAUGUUUGGAGCUGUGGUGUUAUCCUUUAUGCUCUUAUAUGUGGGCAUCUUCCCUUUAUGGAUGAGAACAUACCCAACUUGCAUAAGAAAAUAAGGGGUGGAAUAUAUGAUCUUCCUGAAAAUGUGUCUGAUGGAGCAAGAUAUUUGAUUUUAAGGAUGCUAGAAAUUGAUCCUACAAAGCGAAUCACCAUUGCUGAAAUUCGCCAGCAUCCUUGGUUUCAAUGUAAGCUUCCUUGCUAAUCGUUUUCCUCUCCACCGGAUUUGACGCAGUAUGUGAGAUGAAGGAGACCAUCUUGGGUGAGCCGAUCUCACAAAGGCUGCGGCGCCUGCAACAUGCGGGCAAGCCAUCGACGUCCCGGAUUUUAUAGCGAAGUCUGAUGGCUUCUUUCCUUCUGGAACGGCUCCAAUGUCAACUGCAGGAAUUGAUGCUGCAAGAAUGCUCACUCCCGGAGCCAUAAUAUCAGGCUGUCAAACAAAAGAAACGAAACACUAUCAAUUACGUAUAUUAGGAGCUUUAACAUAUAUACCAUUGUAAAGUUUAAAUUUCCAUUUAUAUGCCUUCCAACUGCAGCUUCUUGUGAAAACUAACAGCACUUUUGCUAGUACAAGGGAAUAUUAUAAGUGAUAAAAUUAGAUUUUGAAGGGCAUAGUUGAAAUUUCAAAUUUCACUGCUAUGCUAGUAGAUAAUUUUGUAAGGUUGUGAAAUAUUUCUACAGAUUAAAUCAUGAGUUUGUGCUCUUGGAAAGAUUCUUGAUAAAAUUAGACCUUUAGGAUGGCUUCUGUGAGUCCUCCUGGUCCUCGAGCAGAGAAGUAUGCGACGACUGGCGCUGGUUUGAACUCCUUGAAAUCCUCGGUCGGGAGAAUUGUAGCUGUUGGCUUCCUGUUUUCAAUGAUUCAAAUCAAGUAUCUGAGCCCCUGCAUCAUUACUGAGUUGGGAGAAAGGGAAGCUUCCAGAAUCAAAUGGCACUCCUUUCUCAACCUCAUCUAUCAAGAUCAGACCUUUUGCGCGAGCCCCUUCAGCCACCAACUUCUUCACUUUCCUCGAAACAGUUGGAUCGGUAUCCACACAAACUACUAUUUUUCCGGCAGUUUUAUCAUCAUCCAGUGAUCCAGGAUAGCAGUUACUGUUAUCAAAAUAACGUAAUGAGAGAAUAAUCUCAAAGCAAAAUUCUAGGAAUCAGCAACAAUGAAAGGAAAAAACCUUGCUUCUGAUACUGGUGUGAAUUCUGCUGCUACAUCUGCCCCAAAGACAAGUGGGUGCUGUUCAUACCGACUAAGGUUAGAGAAGUUUAUCGCCGAUCCCUGAGGUGAGAAACACUCUUGAUAUAUUACAGAAGAACAUUUAUCUCUGCAAUCUAAAAGGAAAAGAAAAGUAAAAAAAAAAAAGAAGUUUUGUACCUUCAAAACACUUCCAUUGCCAAGAACAAUAGUGGACUGAAAAGCUCUAUCAAUGCUUGAGGCCGCCACGGUUAAAAUCCAUGGAGCUGAAUUAACCACAGUAAAAGGGUCUGGUCCAUCAUUUCCGCCCGAGCAAACCACCAAAACCCCCUUUUGAUUUGCAUGGAAGGCUCCAACAGCUAUAGGAUCACUAAGAAAAUCCGACUGGAAAAUGGAGCUCAUUCCUAUCGAUAUCGAGAUAAUGUCAACUCCGUCGUUUAUCGCAUCGUCGAUGGCUUUUAGUACAGUGGAGCCUGCGCAUCCGCCAAGAGAGCAUGCCUUGUACAUUGCAAUUCUGCUCGACGGAGAGCCGCCCUUUGCUACUCCUUGUGCGAGACCGUAGUAGCUGGCAUUCGUUACAAUUGAACCCGCAGCAGUGGAUGAGGUUCCAUCAUUCAUGGUUGAAGAAGUAGAAAAAUCUCUCUUUUAGUUACGUAAAUGUUAAGAAAUCUCUGCAUGAAAGAAUUACCGGUAUCGAUGAUGCCAAUGAUGACAUCAUUAGAUGCUCGGCGAUUUAGCCGCUGUGAUCGCAGGCCCGAUUCCGUCUCUAGGAAAUCCCAGGAGCGCGUGGUAUGGAGUUGAAGAAAUCGGUCAUGGAACACUGAUACCACUUCACUGUGGCCUGCUUUCAUGCGUCAUGCAUAUGCGCAUUACAGAUGAGAAAUAAAAUUUCCUUGCAGAUUAAUUUGCAAAGCUAGAAGGUCAAAAUAACCAUAAGAAGGAGAUUCUACCUGAUAGUUGAGCAGCUUCUUUUUCGGGUGCAAGUAGGAGAAUCAAACCAUAAUUGCGUUGAUUGCUAUGGAGGCUUCUUCUCAAGGAGGAAUGGAAUAAGAACUCUCUCUCAUAUCCGCGUCCAGUGUUACUAGUUCUAGCCAUUCUUACACAGUACAUUGCUAUUAUGGUUUAGUCUCAGUAUAACAAACCAAUCUAAUUUGAAUCAAUGAUCGACCGGCUUGGUUAUUAAACAUUAGUGUCUUGGUCUACCAAUAAAUAAUUAGGGUUGUAGAUUAAACUGAAUAUUAAUAUUUUCAAUUUAUUGUCCACAGAAAGAAAUUCAACUCCUAUAUAUGUAUUGUUCUUGGUUCUAUUCUGAUUAGACAAUUCAUAUUGUCAUUUAUGAAAUGUAAAUUUGCUAAUGAACUUUGUAUCAUCGGUUCCUACUUCUUAGGUAAGUUUUUGAUCAUAAA